CCAAUAACGCACUUUGUUUAACCCGGAGGCGGGGCCGAGCAGCUCCGCCCCGCCAGCUGGCCGCGGGAGCGAGGUUGAGGUUCGACCUCUCAACCCUCUAGGUUGUCUCCAGGCCUGAGGCCGAGAGCCUACCGCCCACCAAACUCUGGGCUUUGAACGAGGAGUUCGGAUACCUCGCUUAAAGACCUCGGGCCGAACACCCCGAGCCUUUUACCCGCCAGGAUCAACCUCAGUUCACAGGACCCCUGACUUCUAUGAAUCGUACACCGCUGUUUACCGUCUCUGCACCUAGGUCAUCUCGGCAGUAAAAUGGGGUAAAACGACCCGAGCUCCCCCGAGGACGCCGCGCCCGACGUGUGCCUCAAGUUGGCUUCCACUGACCUGAAUGUUAAGAAAGCCGUCCUCUCUGUCUCAAAAAAGAAAGAAGGAAAGAGAGUCGUCCUCAGUGACGCUCUCCCUGAAUCCACGGUGGAGAUAGUUUCCCUGGAACUAAUUCACUCACAGUUAUCCAUUGCAUCCCUUUCUACCUUUUAUUUCUAUCUUUCUACCUCACUGGUCUCCAGAAUAGGUGCUUGAGAAGUUAAAAUUUACCAAGAUGAUGUCAGUACAGCUAGUGAGAUGCAGCACGCCAUCUUCAGCCCCCUUGCCUUUGGAAGAGACACCAGACGGCAAAGGGCACACCGCGUACAGAAGCUAACCGAACUUGAAUGACAAGACAAAAAGAGCAGAACCAGUUAGUGCGACGCAACAUUCCAACAUGCCUGAUUGUUACAUCAAAUAUGGGAACUUAGGGGCUGGUGGGGGAAGACAAACAAGGAAAAUCCAUUUAGAAACAAUCUGAUGAAGUUUGCAAACCAGCACUUUACCCCUAAAUUAACAACAGCUUGUAUGGGGGGGAAAAAUUGCUAUUUUAAAAGUAUAUGGUUUGGACAGGUAUUUGUUUUCUCUUGUAGUUUUUGUAAAAAAGUAUCAAAACCUUGGCUUUAAAUAUAUAUAUAUGUAUAUAUAUACAAGUGGCUUUUUAAAAAUUACUUUUUAUAGCACAAAGUGUUUGUAAAUGCAGAGGGUUUCUGCUGAUUCUUGACUGUGCACAUGGUGCAUAGCCCGAAUAAACAGAGCUUCCUGAUUUUUUUAAUAACUGAACAUUUGAAACAGUAAUUCUUUAACCUUCUAUACCCUAAAAAUACAGUGUGAGAAGACUGUUACUCUACCUUCAUGCAUUUCGGGAAAAGGAAUUAUUUACUCUGAAA